rnacentral:rRNA from 1 species
AGAGUUUGAUUAUGGCUCAAGAUGAACGCUGGCGGCGUGCUUAACACAUGCAAGUCGAACGGGCUCAUAUUGAAACCUAGUGAUGUAUGAGUUAGUGGCGGACGGGUGAGUAACGCGUGGAGAACCUGCCGUAUACUGGGGGAUAACACUUAGAAAUAGGUGCUAAUACCGCAUAAGCGCACAGCUUCGCAUGAAGCAGUGUGAAAAACUCCGGUGGUAUACGAUGGAUCCGCGUCUGAUUAGCUGGUUGGCGGGGUAACAGCCCACCAAGGCGACGAUCAGUAGCCGGCCUGAGAGGGUGAACGGCCACAUUGGGACUGAGACACGGCCCAAACUCCUACGGGAGGCAGCAGUGGGGAAUAUUGCACAAUGGGGGAAACCCUGAUGCAGCGACGCCGCGUGAGUGAAGAAGUAUUUCGGUAUGUAAAGCUCUAUCAGCAGGGAAGAAAAUGACGGUACCUGACUAAGAAGCCCCGGCUAACUACGUGCCAGCAGCCGCGGUAAUACGUAGGGGGCAAGCGUUAUCCGGAUUUACUGGGUGUAAAGGGAGCGUAAGACGGCAGCGCACGUCUGAAAUGAAAUCCCAUGGCUUAACC